rnacentral:rRNA from 1 species
AUGGCCACCAACUCCACCUCUGCAGCUAGCCAUGCCAAGUGCCUGCCGAAGACCUCGUCGAGAUGCAUCACCCCUACCUUCACCUCAACGCAUGAUUUCGAGAUCACCAUUUACCCGCUGCUCGAAGGCAUCGGCGUCGAAAAGCUCGUCAGCUCGACCGUCUUCACCGUCGGUGGCUUCAAGUGGACAAUAAGCUUCUUCCCGGACGGCGUGAGACAUGGCAGUUUUGGCAACGCUUCGGCGUUCUUGAACUGCCUCAGCCCGGAAAAGGAUGUGAGAGGAAGGUUCACCUUGAACUUGCUGGGCAAAAGUGGAGCACAGGUUACGAAGUUUGACGAGAUAGAGUAUACCUUUACGGCCGAAUGCAUUUAUCGGGGCUAUCCUCAGUUCGUGGACAGAUCGAGGCUGAGAUCAGUAUCGCUUGAAAACAAUGGGAGUGUCACUAUCCGCUGCGUUCUCACCGUGAUCGGAGAACCCUAUACUGAGGGGAAACGUGCCAUUCUGCCGCCGCCUCCGCUGCCGAUUCUGUGUGAGAGCAAGAAAUUUGUUAUCCGCAACUUGGCGGCACCCCUGAAGAAAUCCAAGCAUGCCAAGAUUGGACUUGGAGGCGAAGUGGAUGCUGUGCUCACAGAUUAUCUGUCCGGCUCUGCUUGA